rnacentral:tRNA from 1 species
UCAUAGCUCAGUUGGUAGAGCACAUGACUUUAAGAAGUUCCUGAAACCCUGUGGUCCAAAGGACGCUGGUUCAAUUCCUGCUCCAAACAGCAGAU